CUAACUCAAGAAGAACAGAGAUACAGCGAGUAAACAGCACCUUUUCACCUGACUUGACUCCACUGCAACAUCUCUCAGAUGAUCAUAAAUAGUUUUGGAGGAAAAAGGGAAGGAGGACAGAAGAACAGUACAAUGAUAAUCAAGACCAUUGUCAUUGUCCUUGUACUUAUUGCAUCCAACAGCAAGCCUGCAGAGGGAAGCCUAAAAUUGAAAUGUCCAAACAGAACAACAAUGGCUCCAAACACAACUGUAGUUGCUCCAACAACAAUAAC